rnacentral:sRNA from 1 species
UAACGUAUACAAAGAAGUUGCGGCGCA